GAAUAUUGCACAAUGGGCGCAAGCCUGAUGCAGCAACGCCGCGUGAGGGAUGACGGCCUUCGGGUUGUAAACCUCUUUUAGUAGGGAAGAAGCGUAAGUGACGGUACCUGCAGAAAAAGCACCGGCUAACUACGUGCCAGCAGCCGCGGUAAUACGUAGGGGGCAAGCGUUGUCCGGAAUUAUUGGGCGUAAAGAGCUCGUAGGCGGCUUGUCGCGUCUGCUGUGAAAACCCGAGGCUCAACCUCGGGCCUGCAGUGGGUACGGGCAAGCUAGAGUGCGGUAGGGGAGAUUGGAAUUCCUGGUGUAGCGGUGGAAUGCGCAGAUAUCAGGAGGAACACCGAUGGCGAAGGCAGAUCUCUGGGCCGUAACUGACGCUGAGGAGCGAAAGCAUGGGGAGCGAACAG
rnacentral:rRNA from 1 species